ACCAGCGAGGGUGUAUGGGGGCCUGGGGGCGCUAACGCCCUGGGCCUGUCUGCCCAGCACGCGGUCCCUUUGCUCCCUGUGCCCCAGCAGCACAGAAACCAUGAAGCACUGGCAGGUCCCCUAUGAGGUGCCAGCCUCAUCCACCUAAACUAAGGGUGGGCGUCCAAGCAUGGCUCCUGUGCCUACCAGGAAGGUGAACUAACUACCGGAAGUGCCAUCCUGACCUGCGGCCCCAAGCCUGGACAGCGUUUCCACCAGCUGGGGGUGGGGUGGGGGUGGGGAGCAAGGAGAGACUGGGAUGGGGAGGAGAAGGAAGACAACCCUCCGGACUGGAAGUUUGAAAUCCUCUCUUUAAAACACGAACUGGCGGGCUGGACUUCUUAUAUAACACUCCUUUAGUGACUGAAGCACUUGUCACAACCACCUUGGGGACCUAGCUUCAAUGUCCCCACUUUCAGGAAGUCAAGGUAUUUGCUCAGAUAGCACGUGGCUGAGCAGCGGCAGUAAAAUCAGAAUCCCCAUUUCCACUCUUAGACCAGUGAGCCCUCCUGCACCCACGACGGAGACUGAGGAGGAGAAAAAUAACCAGCCAUGCAAAAUCCAAAAAAAAAAAAAAAAUCCUUUCAAGAUUAUGAAAUCAAAGAGCAUUUUGUUGUUUCUUGGACGUUCUUCUUACUACUCUGAGGCCGCACAAUUCAACAGACAUCUCUUUAUUGUUGUUAAAGUACUUGCUCUAUCUCCUGCCUCUGUUACUAACUUUCACACCAACCGAGAACGCAAGCGUUUACCUGGGCUCCAUCCUUGGACGGCGAACGGGUCGCGCAGGCUUCCGGCCUCCUCCUCCCUGGGGUUUGGUUCCAAGGCUCCCGCAAAAUCUCGAAAUCACCCCGGAUCGGCGCGGCCACCGAGGGAAGCAGCCCGGCUCUGAACAAGCCCAGGCAAGCCCAGGCAGAGCCCGCUUCGCGGUCCUUCCUCCUGCGCGAACCACCCGGCCCCGGGGCGAGAGACGCGUCUCUCUGGCCCCAGAUCCGUGGAGUCGUCUCUCUCCAGAGGACCGGGCGCUGGCCCUCUCCUCCACCUGAGAAGGACAAGGGAGCAGGUCCCCGGAGGCACAGAUGCGGACGCGGCGAGGCGCCGGGCAGCCCGUGAGGUGGUGAGGUACGCGCCUCCCUUUCCUCGCGGUUUCUACACUGCCCUGCGCAUGUCACGGGACGCCCCUGGGGUUGAUGGGGACACAUGUGCAGCGGUGGCCCCGAAGACGCCCUUCUCAGUUGUGGGGAGGGGACUCCCCAGCCACCACCCUGCCUCCAGCCACCAUAGAUCCUACCCAAUCCGACCAGGUUUGGACCUGGGACCCUUGGGAGACAAACUGCCCUGCGGCCCUCACGGCCUGGUAUGAAGGGAAGAGGAGUUACCCAGGCCUCCCCCUGCAAGAGUUCUGCGCUCAGGGCUGUUGCUUCCUCCGAGGCAAACCCUCUUAGCAAACUCACACUUGGCGGUACUCUGCACGUGAUGCACCGAGACCCUGCAGGAACUUGUUUCCUCCACAGGGACACAACUGAAGGACUAGGGUCUUCUUGGCCCCAUGAGACACCUGCAUCUUGCACUGGGAGAAGUUGGUCCUUGGCGGGAAGUGGCUGCUGCCCCAAGCAUGUCAUCACAUGCACACUGCGGGGAGCAAGUGAGGCCAGCUGUGAGCUGACCCCAUUUGACAGAUGACAGUCCCUAGCUCACAGGGAUGAGUCUGCAUGGAGCCCACGUUCCCAGCCUUUUCCAAGGAUUCUAGAAAAGUCCCAGAGAAGGAAAGAGCCGGUCAGAAUGCCCAGAUGCACUGGAUAGCUACCUUUCCCCACAUGGGCAGUGGGGCAGAGGACCAUUUCCCACCCACCCUCCCCCCAGGGUGGCCAUCACUGUACGGUAGCUUGAGUGGGGAAGGUCUUUGCAGAUCCUCAAAGAUUCAGGAGGAUUUAAUGAGGCCAAGGCUUCCCUUGUGGCUCAAACAGUAAAGAGUCUGUCUGCCAUGCAGCAGACCCGUGUUUGAUCCCUGGGUCGGAAAGAUCCCCUGGAGAAGGGAAUGGCAACCCACUCCAGUAUCCUUGCCUGGAGAAUCCCAUGGACAGAGGAGCAUGGUGGGCUAUACGAUCCAUGGGGUCACAAAGACUGAGCAAGUAACACUUUCUUUUCAAUGAGGUCAGUGGCUCUGGAGGUGGCACAGGCGACAGAAGGGAAAAGCUGGUUCUAAUUCUGAUUCUGUGUGUGACCUCGGGGAAUAAUAAUAAUAAAGCUAACUCACACUGAGUGCUCAGUGUGCCAGAAAGAAAGUAAGUGAAGUCGCUUAGUCUUGUCUGACUCUUUGUGACCCCAUGGACUGUAGCCUUCCAGGCUCCUCCGUCUAUGGGAUUUUCCAGACAAGAAAAUCCCAUAGAUGGAUUGUCAUUUCCUUCUCCAGGGGAUGGCUUCCCUGGUGGCUCUGUCUGCCUGCAGUGCGGGAGACACUGUGUGCCAGGCAUCAACCUAAAUCCACCCUAGAUAAUAAUCUCUUUCAAUUCUCUACACAGUCCUGUGAGAUACAUACCAGUACUACCCCAUUUCCAGGUGAGAAAGCUGAGGACCAGAAAGGUAAAACUUGGCCACCAUCACGAGGGGGAGAAUGAAGUGGAACCAGGACCCAUAUUCAUUCCUUUCUGACUCCCAAGCCUCACUCCUUAAGCAGCUGCAUCUGGCCUCAAUUUGGCAAAUUGCUUAGCCUCUCCACACCUUGGUGUUCUUGUGUGUACAGACAGCAUCAGGCUCACGGUAUGGACUCAAUAUAUGUUGGUGGAAUGAAUGAACGACCCCCACACCCCUCAAGGUGGUUGUAAAGACUGUAGUAAAUGGAGUUGCUGCACACAGCAGGCACUUCAUCAGCUUACCUAAGGAACCUCUGGAGCCCUGGGUCCAAGGAAGCUAUACUUCCCUGCUCCACACUUAUGGACGUUUGGGAGCAUUUCCAGCUGAGACCUCCACCCUCACUGGUCCUUUCUUCUCCCUUUCCUUUCAGAGCCACCGAAACGCCUUGACCUGGGCGGCUGACAGAUGAAGGAGUACAUUUGGGAGACUCCAGACUCCGGUAACUAGAGGACUUGAAAUAAGAUUUAUAUCCACUUUUCCAUUCAGAGGCCAAACCACAUUCAGGCCUCUUUUUUUCCCCCCUUAAUCAUGUUUGUGUAAGUGAGGACUGGUUUAUAAAGGCAUCUCCAUAUGUCAGUCUGUCUCACCAAGGGUGUUCAGCCCAUCUGUAUUUCCCCUAGAAUUCAUCCCAUACCCAGAUGCAGAUGUACACACACCCCUGACUAGCAAGCAAGGGCACUAUAGAGAAAGGGGGCUACAGAGGUAGCAUGCACAAGCUUCAGUUCAUGGCCCCCACCCAGACACAGCUUCAAAACAGUGCACUCGGGAGGCAUUCAUGUCUUGAAUUUAACCACAGAAGCCCAAGAAGUCCUACUUCCGAAUCAGCCUAUGAGGUUGAUCUUGUCCAAAAAUGUGAAUUUAAAAAAAAAAAAAAAAGGCUAGGGACUUCCCUGGUGGUCCAGUGGCUAAGACUCCAUGCUGCCAGUGCUUAGGACCCGAGUUUAAUCGCUGGUCAGGGAACUAGAUCCCACAUGCUGAAACCAAAGAUCCUGCAUGCCGCAACUAAGAACCGACAAAGCCAAAUAAAUAAAUAUUUUAAAAAAUUAAAUGUAAAAAAGGAUAGUGAUAUCCUAGGAUUACAUCACACUGAUGGUUGCACAAUUUUGUGAAUCUAGUCUCCCUCCAUAUCUAAGUGGGGGUCAGUUCCAGGGCCCUCUUAAGAUCCUCAAAUUUGAAGAUGCUCAUGGUAAAGAACCCGCCUACCAAUGCAGGAGACCUAAGAGACUCAGGUUCGAUCCCUGGGUUGGGAAGAUUUCCUGGAGAAGGAAAUGGCAACCCACUCCAAUAUUCUUGCUUAGACAAUCCCAUGAACAGAGGAGUCUGGCAGGCUAUAGUCCAUAGGGCCACAAAUAGUCAGACAUGACUGAAGUGACUCAGCACACACGCAAGUUCCUUACAUAAAAUAAGGUAAUAUUAUAUUUAAAUAUAACCUAUGCACAGUCUACUGUAUCCUUUAAAUCAUCUCUAGAUCACUCAUAACACCUGAUGCAAUAUAAAUACAAUGUAAAUAAGUAUAGCAUUGUGUCAGUCACUCAGUUGUUUCUGACUCUGGGUGAUCCCACGGACUGUAGCCUGCUAGGCUCCUCUGUUCAUGGAAUUCUCCAGGCAAGAAUACUGGAUUGGGUAGCCAUUUAAGUUUAACGUAAAUGAUAGGUAAAUAGUUGCUGGCCAUUGGCAAAUUCAAGUUUUGCGUUUUGGAACUUUCUGGAAAUAGUUUCUUUUAAUUUUUUUCAGUCAACUGUCAGUGAAAUUCAUGCAACUGAUAUGGAUACAGAACCCAUGGAUACAGAGGGGUGACUGUAUACUGGAACCCACCAAACUGUACUUUUAAGUGGUGAAAUUUACAGCGUGUAAGUUAUAUCUCAGUAGAGGGAAAAAAGGGGGGCACCAUUCUUCCUAGUGGCCCAAAAUAAAUGGCAUGAACCCAGCAGGUUUCUGAAAGCCCCAUAACUCUUUUUUCUUUUUUUACUCCAGCACGCUUGAUAAAUGCUAACUCCCCUGACUCAGAAGAUUCCUUGGUGGUCCAGUGGUUAAGACUUUGUGUUCCACUGCAGGGGUUGUGGGUUUGAUACCUGGUUGGGGAACUGUGAUCCCGUAUGCCACAGGAAACCAUAAAAAGAAAUAAAUAAAUUGGGCCAAGAUACAAAAGAAAAUCUAAUCCUGGUGUAGGUAACACAAGAGAGUCGGGCAUCCUGUGGCUGUUCUGCCUGGACACUGGCAGGUACUGACAAGUCCAAAGCAGCCUGUCUUUUAUGCCCUCGAAGACAGGACUGUGGUGACACGGGGUCUGAGACUGGACCCUGCAGAAGAAAGGGGGCUUGGUGGUGGGGAGGACUUGCCUAUUGCAACCCUGCGUCUGUGAAUGACAGAUGUUGCUGCCAUAUUGGUAAACAAGGAUGCUGCAACCUUCAAGCCACCACAUUACCAGCCACACAGACCAUAAGCCCUGAGGGAACUCAGGAUGGAGGCAGGAAGCACCCACUCCCCAGCUAGAAGUCAGCCGCUGCAGCCACCGCCAGGGGGUACCCUGAGGAGACUCAGGAUGAGAAAACACGGUAUUCUGGCCCAGAGAGCAGAGGGUAUACCAAGGAAUGACGUCAGCAAGCCCAGACUUUUGCAACUUUCCCAUGCAUAGACAAGCGCUAAAUUCCUUAACUUGAAAUGUCUGGUGUUCUUUAACAGUAAGGUAGCUCAGUGGUAAAGAAUCCGACUGCCAGUGCAUGAGACAAGGAUUCGAUCCUUGGGUUGGGAAGAUCCCUGGAGGAAGGCAUGGCAACCCACUCCAGUAUUGCCUGGGGAAUUCCAUGGACAGAGGAGCCUGGAAGGCUACAGUCCAUUGGGUCGCAAAAGAGUCGGACAUGACUGAACAACUCAACAACAACAAUAGCAGCAAUAUUUUGAUGUUCUGACUACUUGGUCUUUGUUGCAGAAACUCCUAUGUAUCCUGGCUCCUGGCUUGCCUCUUUGGAGCAGUCCCACAGAGCUAUCUGAGAGGUUAUGUCCUGGGCUUAAGUUCUUUAAAGAUGUCCGCCAAAUAAAACAAAACUCUCAGCUCUGAGGUCGUGCUUUUUUUUUUUUCAGUUGAUAUAUCGGAAAGUCAUUUGGUGGGCCCAUGGUGGAUGGGCCAGUGUGGGGACCUAUGUGUAACCUGUGGGGGUGCUCCAGGGAGCCUGCCUAGCCCUUGCAAAGCCCUUGUGUCAGCAAGCACACUCUUCAAAACCCCACUUCUGAAUAAGGAAGCGCAACUUGACUUGUUGGGUUGGUGAAGAAAUCUCCACUGAAUUAAAAAUAGCAAAUAAAUGUAAGAAGUCAAAAUGCUGUACAAAGGGGAGAAUUACUUUAAGUGUUUACUCAUGGCUAUGCUGACUGGGCAUUUAAACUAAAUACAGCUUUACAUUUCUCCAGCUCCUAAAGUUGCCCCGUGGCUUGUGCAUCAAAUUCACCUUUUUUUCUAAUUGAGGACAGAGAGAGGUCUAAUUAUUCUUAGGAGAUAGCCCUAUGGAGCAGUUGAUUGAUUGAUAGAUCAAGCACUUUAUUUCUUUUUUAGUUUUUUUUUGGGGCUGUGCUGCAUGGCUUGCAGGAUCUUAGUUUCCCCAACCAGGGAUCGAACCUGGGCCUCCUGCAGUGGAAGCACAGAGUUCUACCCACUGGAAAGUGAAAGUGAAAGUCACUCAGUUGUGUCCGACUCUUUUGCAAUCCCAUGGACUUCAUGGAAUUCUCCAGGCCAGAAUACUGGAGUGGGUAGCCUUUCCCUUCUCCAGAGGAUCUUCCCAACCCAGGGAUCGAACCCAGGUCUCCUGCAUUGAGGGCGGAUUCUUUACCAGCUGAGCCACAAGGGAAUCCCAGAAUACUGGCAUGGGUAGCCUAUCCCUUCUCCAG
ensembl:lncRNA